AGACAAAGAUCCAUUCUGAGAAGAAGAGCUCUGCGUCCUGUCCUUGUGACCCGCUGACUGCAACAGGGGUAGACAUGUGCAAAGCCUAGGAUUGGAAAUGAUGGAUGCUUUCCAGGGACCCUGAUCCAUCAUCAGAUGAAUAUGCUGCCACCUCACCAAGGAAGCACCUGGAAAGGCCAGUUGAAGGAAAUGACUUUCUGCUGCUGGUGUUGGUAAGUGUUUGUGAUUAGACAGAUGACUCCAUUGUGUGGUUUAGGCACAGGGCUGCC